rnacentral:rRNA from 1 species
GACGAACGCUGGCGGCGUGCUUAACACAUGCAAGUCGAACGGAAAGGCCUGGUGCUUGCACUGGGUACUCGAGUGGCGAACGGGUGAGUAACACGUGGGUGAUCUGCCCUCAACUUUGGGAUAAGCCUGGGAAACUGGGUCUAAUACCGGAUAGGAACAAUCUUUAGUGUGGUUGUUGGAAAGCUUUUGCGGUUGGGGAUGAGCUCGCGGCCUAUCAGCUUGUUGGUGGGGUAAUGGCCUACCAAGGCGUCGACGGGUAGCCGGCCUGAGAGGGUGUACGGCCACAUUGGGACUGAGAUACGGCCCAG